UUGAAACAAUUCAUCAAGUUG
rnacentral:misc_RNA from 1 species